CUGACGGAGCGACGCCGCGUGGAUGAUGAAGGCCGAAAGGUUGUAAAGUCCUUUUGCUGGGGAAGAAUAAGUGUGGGAGGGAAUGCCCGCAUGAUGACAUGAACCGGCGAAUAAGCCCCGGCCAACUACGUGCCAGCAGCCGCGGUAACACGUAGGGGGCGAGCGUUGUUCGGAAUUACUGGGCGUAAAGGGCAUGUAGGCGGUCUGGUAAGCCUGGCGUGAAAGGCCACAGCUCAACUGUGGGAUCGCGUUGGGAACUGCUGGGCUUGAGUUAUGGAGAGC
rnacentral:rRNA from 1 species